GAUGAACGCUGGCGGCGUGCCUAACACAUGCAAGUCGAACGAAGCACUGAGACUUCGGUUUUUGUGCUUAGUGGCGGACGGGUGAGUAACGCGUGAGCAAUCUGCCUUUCAGAGGGGGAUAACGAUUGGAAACGAUCGCUAAUACCGCAUAACGUAUUCGGACGGCAUCAUCUGAAUACCAAAGGAGCAAUCCGCUGAAAGAUGAGCUCGCGUCUGAUUAGAUAGUUGGUGAGGUAACGGCCCACCAAGUCGACGAUCAGUAGCCGGACUGAGAGGUUGAACGGCCACAUUGGGACUGAGACACGGCCCAGACUCCUACGGGAGGCAGCAGUGGGGAAUAUUGCGCAAUGGGGGAAACCCUGACGCAGCAACGCCGCGUGAUUGAAGAAGGUCUUCGGAUUGUAAA
rnacentral:rRNA from 1 species